GGGUAAGUAGGUUGGUCGUGCCACCGGUACGUACUGGUCUCAAUGAUUCCUCCUUCCUGAAGAACCGUAAUGCCAUUAAUUUGGUGUUGCGGGGAAACAGGACUGUUACUUUGAAAAAAUUAUAGUGUUUAAAGCAAGCUAACGAUUGAAUACAUUAGCAUGGAAUAAUGAAAUAGGACGAUCGAUCCUAUUUUGUUGGUUUCUAGGAUUGACGUA
rnacentral:rRNA from 1 species